GCCGCCUCGCCGUCACAGGUGUCCGCCGCGCCGCCGACCACCGCCGCCGCCGCCUCGCCGUCGCAGGUGUCCGCCGCGCCGCCGACCACAGCCGCCGCCUCCGCGCCACAAGUUGCCACGACACAACCACCGACAACAGCUGCUGCCUCUCCACAGCUCGCUGCCACGUCAGCUCCGCCAACAGCUGCCGCCUCCGCACCGCUCACCGCCACGUCACCUCCAGUGUCCUCGGUCGCUUCUCCGCCACUAGUCGCCACGUCCUCGGCCCCAGUCUCCGCGCCCCCUCUGGCAGUGACCGCGGCUCC
rnacentral:lncRNA from 1 species